GAAAAAGGCCUUUAGUCUAUGACAAACUAGUACUUCCCAUCAUGCUGUUUAAAUGAAGAGAGCAUCUUAAUCUACACUCUGCAAAUGAACAAGAGUCAUAACUGUGAACGAAGCAGUUUCAUUCAGCUUUGGUCAGAGGGAGACAAAAUGGCGACAUAUGCUUUCUCAGACCCUCAUCUGUCCGCACAUGUUCCAGAUUCCUGGGGCAUUUAUUGUUUGAAGCCAGACACUCACAAAAACAAACAAUGAAUGCGAGCAAGCAGAAUCCCGGCUGUGGCGCUGUACUGACAGCAUCUGCAUCUGAGCUUUUAGCGCCACAGAAACACUGACAAUCUAAUGCAGACCCCCUGCCCUCACCACCACUCUGCUCUUCUCAGCAUUUCUGGCCUAAAUGCGAAAAGAUUAUUCACAGACAUUUUGCCCUGGUGGUGGUGGUGGAGGAGAAAGAGGAAGGAUGGGGAGAGAAAGGAAGAGCUGCAGAGCGAGUUGCUUGACCCGGUUUCUACAGCACUGAGCCGUAAGGCAACGUGACAGAGCCCCGGCUCAGACAGAAAGCACCCAGCCUUCAGCGAGCCAAGCAAGACUGAAGCACAUGCAGACACAAACACGCCAGACCACUUCAAAUGCCGCUCUGCCAUUAAAGUUCAGAUGGAACGAGAUUAAAAAAAACACAACAUUACAUUAGUUCUCUUAAUCAUGGUUAGUCUAACACACAGUACUGUGAAGAACAGUGGGAAUGGUGAGCAUAACAUAUGGACUUUCUUGCAGGGUAAUUUAAUGCCAAAAAAAAAAAAAUGUCAGCAAAGUAAGCUACAUUAUUGCAAGUAAACAGAAAUGCUGUUUAAUGCAGGGCUGCAAAUAGUAUGACAAAAAUUACAUUACUAGACUACAGUUCUAGAGUUUCAUGUUUUUAAAGAAGUCUCUUUCAAAGAUGAUCACCAAGAAUUUAUUUGAUCAAACACACAGCAAAAACAGUAAUACUGUAAAUAAUUGAUGCAACUUAAAAUAAAUAAAUUAAUCUACAUUUAUAAAUAAAUAUAUUAAACAAUACAUUGUAUUCAAUUAUGUAAAAUGCUAUUUAUUAUGAUGCUGGCAAAGCUGAAUUUUCAGCAGCCAUUACUCUAGUCUUCAGUGUCACAUGAUACUUCAGAAAUCAUUCUUAUAUGCUGAUUUGGGGCUCAAAAACAUUUAUCAUUAUUAAUGAACAUAUUACAUAUAAAUUAUAGAGAUGCACAAUAUAUAUCAAUAACAUAUGAAUUAUAGGUGAAUUUUUUUUUAUCAUGUUACAUCAUUUUUAGUAUUUAACUGUUCAUCCUCAUUUCCUCUCCUUUUUCAUUUAGAAUAUUUAAUUAUUUAAUUAUUAGAAUCUGCAACCCAUUUUUGGGUUUCAACUCAACUCACCAUAAAAACAACAUCUCUAUAGUUAUUUUCACUGAUAAAACUGCAGUUUUUUAAAAAUGUGACCUAGCCUGCACAAGCACUUUAUAACCGUGGCUAAGAAUAAAAUGGAAAUCCCCUCAGUAGCUCCAAAACCCCAGCCAUGAGGGAGCAUUGGAGUGAAAAAGAGAAAGAGAAAAAGAGAGAAAGCAGGGAACAUUACAGAACGAAAGCUGAGUCAGCAGCUGUCCAGUUAAACUUACAGGUCCGUUUCAAAUCCCAUCAGGGAAACCGUCAACAUGUUUUACAGCCAGUAAACAAUCAAUGAAGGAGAUGAACACAGUUCCCAGCUCUCUCAGAUCCCCUCUUCAGAAGCUCACAAAGACACAAGUAUACAAACACAUGCACACAAAGACACAAGUAUGGACACUUGUUGGUAAGAAAAUGGCAAGCGGAAGGGGAUUAGUCGACUAAGCUACUAAAUCUGGCAAGCGCCCAGUACUAAAUGGGUUAAAGUACACCCUCUUCCUCCUAAUCUCACACACAUACACCUAAAGCUCUGCCAUGCUAACGCAGGCCUGCCUCUGCAUCAAAGACCCUUUUAUAAGGCGGCUGGGGUCAGAAACAUCACGGCGUAUGGGACCCACACACAAACCCACACAUGCUCGCUCACUUCCUUGAUCCAAGGUGUUGUGGUUUUUACUAGGCAGCUGGAAUGAUUCCUCUUCCCCUCUCUUUUGUUUUCUCUCAGUCUCUGGCUAAACAAAAACCUAAUUAACAAUGACACAAACUCAUUUAUAACUAAAGGCAAAGCUUUAAAAUGGACUUUCUUCAUAUACUGCACCAAAUAUUUAAAAAUCUAAUCUUUAGGACUUACUAUACACCCUAUCAAUUUGAAAAAUGGUAGCCUAUUUACUUGGUUGCCAUAGUAAUGACUAGUAAUGAGAAGAGAGUAGCUAUCAUUGUGGAAAGAGAUGAUGGAAAACUGGAAAUUUUUGUGUACUGUGUCAUGCUCAUGACACUGUGAGGCGCUGAACUCAUGAGGGGCAUGAGAUAACAUCGUCUACGGCAUUACUGUAUAUCGGCACAUGCUGUGGCAAGAUUUUUUAGUCAGACAUGCAACAAACUACUGCCAAUCUGAACAAAGCCUAGGAUAUUUAUUGUAUUUUUACAGUUGCAAUUCAUUGACCCUGCAAUUGUGUAGACAGAACAAGUUUCAUUAAACCAUUUGACUGUCUCUAUUGUUACAGAGAGGUCAUAUAUUUAAUUUAUAAACCUAAUAUUGAAAAUGUAUUUUAGAUAGUAAUAAUACUUCACAAUAUAACUAUUCUUACUAUAUUUUUGAUCAAAUAAAUGCAGCCUUGG
rnacentral:lncRNA from 12 species